AAAGUGGGGUUUAUGAGUGUGGUGGAGAGUCAUUUUUUCGGGGCUUUAAAGCAGAGACUGAAUGGCCAUCUGUCCAAAGUGCUUUGAUUGUGUCUUCCUGCAUAUCAGAGGGUUGGAAUAGAUGGCCUUUAUGAUUUCUUUUUAUUUAUUUACAUCAUUUCUAUCCCAACUUUCUCACCCGAGGGGACUCUUCCAACUGUAUGAUUAUGAUCUCUUCCAACUUUAUGAUUCUAUGAAAGCUGGCAAUCUAACUUCAGUUUAAAGACUUACAGAGAAAGAGAGUCCACCACUCUCCAAGACAUUUCUGUUCCAUUGUUCAACAGCUCUUACAUCAAAGAAGCUCUUCCCAAUGUUUAGGUGGAAUCUAUUUCAUUUUUAUUUAAAUCCAUUGGUGCGUAUUAUAAUCUUUGAAGCAGAAGAGAACAAGUUUGCUCAAUCUUCUACAAGUCAGCUAUCCCGUCACCUCAAAAUAUCCUCCAAGUUUAACACAUCCUAAGUUGUUUCUCAGAAAGCUUGAUUUUCAAAUGUUUUACUUCUUUGAUCACCCUUCUCUAGACACCUUCCAGCUUGUCCAUAUCCUGCUAGAAUUCUGGAGCCCAGAACUAGAAACAGGGAUAUUUCAGGUUGCCACCGAAAAUGGUCUGCUGAGAUAUUCCCAAGCAUGCCUUGCAGACGCGCAAGUAUUAAAGGAAGGCUCAUUAUGCUGACUUAAUUUAAGACACUAGCGCAUUUUCAAGGCACACAAGGCUUAUCUAACGGCUACAAACCAGAGCUAUUUGUAACCGUUAAAGACAUAAUCAAAGGGGGACUAACUUAAAUGUGAGGAGAGAGAACAAAAAGCAUUUAUAAGAUCUAUUAAAAAAGAGCAAGAAGAAAAGAACUCUAUAAUUCACUGCUUGUUAUUUAUUUAUUCCCGGCACGACAGGUCUUGCCAUUAAACUAGCUGGAGGAAAAGCCUGUUCCAUCUUUGGGCUUCUGUGUGAAGUCCUCAUGUUGUAUUUUGUAUAUAUUACUUUUCAUUACUGCCACUAACCAUUUCUUACUCUUCAUUUUUGUCAUGUGCUUUAUCUCACUUACUUCCAAAUAAAUAUAAGUAAAAUCAGAAAGGGAACAUUCCUAGGAUAGUUCCCUAAGAAGUACAGCUUUGAUUUGCCUACAUCUGACCCUGCCUUUGAGGGCAUUAUCUUCAUCAUGAGCAGCCCUUGGGGACAUCAGCUUCUCUAUGAGGUCAGUGGUUCCCUUGAGACAUGGCAAGAACACUUUUCCUCUAGGUCAGUGGUUCUCAACCUGUGGUAACAUAGCAGCUCUUGAAUAUUUUCUUUAAAAACCCUGAAUAUCCCUUACCUAGAUGACCCUUACUCAAAAUCUUGUUUUUCCAUGAAAGUGUUGACAGGACAUGUUCUGCCUGACAUUUGUUUUUUGCUCACAAUGUAAGGUCAUGCAAACCGCAGUAACGAUUUGGCUUGCUGGAUAAUGCAUACGUGAGAUGAGCUAUGAACAUGUCAACUGAGGAUAGUGCAUACGUGGAACAAACUAUGGAUACUUCACCUGGUGUGAUGAGUAAUGAGUUAUAUAAGUUACAAGGCAACUAUGCAUGUCCAAAAGGAUUAUAAUGAAAUGGCAGACAAAGGUUUGAGGAAAUGAGACAAAGAGAGUUCCGGUGGCUGUAGAAAAAAUGACGUUUAUUCUCAGUGACCAGUGAGAAUAUAGCAAUAAGAAAAAGGAGACCUUCUCCUGUAAUCAGGAAAGCGAAGGUGGCAGACAAAGAAACACAGAUCCUUAUAUACUAUUUUGGUCUACCUCCAUCUAUGUCACAUAGGUAUUAUCAAUCACCAAUUAGUGUCAAAAAAGUCUUACUUGGCACUUAACUAAAAGCUAUCUUUGCAUUUUCCUAAAAUAUAGACUAAUUCAAGACCUCUGACCCUCCAUUAGCCUGAUCUCUGGAAUUCUCAUCUCAUCCAUUAGGACUCCCCCUCGUCCUCCAUUAAUUAAGGAAUUUCCUCCCUACCUUAGCUUGUCAGAGAGAGUAAUUAGUAUUCCCCCCUGGCGCCAGGUCCUAUCUUGACAUCCCAAAAAGCUUUAAUUUGUCUUUUGUCCAUUAGCUUAUCUACUCUUGUUGAUACUUAACAUACGUCCCUGGCACUCAGGGUGAACUUUGGUCUUGCUUUUGCUGAGCAGAGUGUAUUUUUGGGCUAUAGGCCUACAAUUCUGCUUAUGAUUACAUUUUCCUAUUUCUAUUUCUUAACAUGAUUACAUUCAAUAUAUAGUUUCCAAUACAAGUAUUAUAUUUUCCCAAUAAACCUUCAUCAAUAAUAGUCAGCAAAUUCCAUUGUCAGUUAGCUUUUUGCACAUGCUUGUGUAAAAUUGUAUAAAUUGGAAAGCCACUACAAGCAAGGUGUGGCAUUGUUUUUUCUGGACAUUAGCAAACAUUGUCACCUGUUCCUGGCCAAAAGUAAACUAUCUUGAAGACAACUUCUGUUGUCAGUCUGCUUUCUUCACUCACGUCCAAACGAAAUUCUGCAACAAAUUCUGGUGCAUAAUAAACUCUUACUACUCUUUUCCACCUAAAUCCAAGGAAGCCCCUCGGAUUCUGGACCAGUGUC
ensembl:lncRNA